AUACUUACUUGGUGCAGGGAUUGCAGCGAUCAUCAAGGCUGCGCCCCGUGCGGAGACCUUCCAUUGCACUGGGGGAGGUUGAAGCGCGCCACCUACCUCCGAGAGGGGUAGGGUGGAGCAUUAAAUUUUUGGUAGUGGGGCUAGGCGUACGCGCCAGCCCCGC
rnacentral:snRNA from 1 species